GACGAACGCUGGCGGCGUGCUUAACACAUGCAAGUCUACGAGAAAGAGGUAGCAAUAUCUUGAUUAAAGUGGCGCACGGGUGAGUAACACGUAAGCAAUCUACCCUUAGAUCUGGAAUAACUUCGAGAAAUCGAGGCUAAUACCGGAUAAUGCAGCGGCACCGCAUGGUGAUGUUGUUAAAAUUUCGAUGUCUAAGGAUGAGCUUGCGUCUGAUUAGCUAGUUGGUGAGGUAACGGCCCACCAAGGCUGCGAUCAGUAGCUGGUCUGAGAGGAUGAUCAGCCACACUGGAACUGAGACACGGUCCAGACUCCUACGGGAGGCAGCAGUGAGGAAUAUUGGGCAAUGCCCGCAAGGGUGACCCAGCAACGCCGCGUGGAGGAUGAAUGCCGUAAGGUUGUAAACUCCUGUUAGAGGGGAAGAAUAAUUCCGAUUGCAUCGGAACUUGACUGUACCCUCAGAGAAAGCCCCGGCUAACUACGUGCCAGCAGCCGCAGUAAAAC
rnacentral:rRNA from 1 species